GAGUGAUGAAGGCUUUCGGGUCGUAAAACUCUGUUGUUAGCGAAGAACAAGUGCUAGUUGAAUAAGCUGGCACCUUGACGGUACCUAACCAGAAAGCCACGGCUAACUACGUGCCAGCAGCCGCGGUAAUACGUAGGUGGCAAGCGUUAUCCGGAAUUAUUGGGCGUAAAGCGCGCGCAGGUGGUUUCUUAAGUCUGAUGUGAAAGCCCACGGCUCAACCGUGGAGGGUCAUUGGAAACUGGGAGACUUGAGUGCAGAAGAGGAAAGUGGAAUUCCAUGUGUAGCGGUGAAAUGCGUAGAGAUAUGGAGGAACACCAGUGGCGAAGGCGACUUUCUGGUCUGUAACUGACACUGAGGCGCGAAAGCGUGGGGAGCAAACAGGAUUAGAUACCCUGGUAGUCCACGCCGUAAACGAUGAGUGCUAAGUGUUAGAGGGUUUCCGCCCUUUAGUGCUGAAGUUAACGCAUUAAGCACUCCGCCUGGGGAGUACGGCCGCAAGGCUG
rnacentral:rRNA from 1 species